rnacentral:rRNA from 1 species
AUUGAACGCUGGCGGCAGGCCUAACACAUGCAAGUCGAACGAGUGGCGGACGGGUGAGUAAUGUCUGGGAAACUGCCUGAUGGAGGGGGAUAACUACUGGAAACGGUAGCUAAUACCGCAUACCAUCAGAUGUGCCCAGAUGGGAUUAGCUUGUUGGUGGGGUAACGGCUCACCAAGGCGACGAUCCCUAGCUGGUCUGAGUGGAUGACCGGCCACACUGGAGCUGAGCCCCGGUCCAGAGUCCUCAGGGGGGCAGCAGUGGGGAAUAUUGCACAUGGGGCGCAAGCGUGAUGCAGCCAUGCCGCGUGUAUGAAGAAGGCCUGCGGGUUGUAAAGUACUUUCAGCGGGGAGGCGUUACCCGCAGAAGAAGCACCGGCUAACUCCGUGCCAGCAGCCGCUGUAAUAC